CAAGUCGAACGCUCCGCAAGGAGAGUGGCAGACGGGUGAGUAACGCGUGGGAACCUUCCCAGUGGUACGGAAUAGCUCAGGGAAACUUGAGGUAAUACCGUAUGAGCCCGAAAGGGGAAAGAUUUAUCGCCAUUGGAUGGGCCCGCGUAGGAUUAGCUAGUUGGUGAGGUAAUGGCUCACCAAGGCGACGAUCCUUAGCUGGUUUGAGAGAAUGACCAGCCACACUGGGACUGAGACACGGCCCAGACUCCUACGGGAGGCAGCAGUGGGGAAUAUUGGACAAUGGGCGCAAGCCUGAUCCAGCCAUGCCGCGUGAGUGACGAAGGCCUUAGGGUUGUAAAGCUCUUUUGGCGGGGACGAUAAUGACGGUACCCGCAGAAUAAGCCCCGGCUAACUUCGUGCCAGCAGCCGCGGUAAUACGUAGGGGGCUAGCGUUGUCCGGAUUUAUUGGGCGUAAAGAGCGUGUAGGCGGCCAUGUAGGUCCGGUGUGAAAACUCGAGGCUUAACCUCGAGAUGUCAUCGGAAACCAUUUGGCUAGAGUCCGGAAGAGGAGAGUGGAAUUCCUGGUGUAGCGGUGAAAUGCGCAGAUAUCAGGAAGAACACCAAUGGCGAAAGCAGCUCUCUGGGACGGUACUGGCGCUGAGACGCGAAAGCGUGGGGAGCGAACAGGAUUAGAUACCCUGGUAGUCCACGCCGUAAACGAUGGGCGCUAGGUGUGGGCGGUGUCGACUCCGUCCGUGCCGAAGCUAACGCAUUAAGCGCCCCGCCU
rnacentral:rRNA from 1 species